GGAGUUAGCCGGUGCUUCUUCUGUGAGUGAUGUCCUUCCUGCCGGCUAUUAACCCGCAGGCCUUCUUCCUCACUGAAAGUGCUUUACAACCCGAAGGCCUUCUUCACACACGCGGCAUGGCUGGAUCAGGGUUGCCCCCAUUGUCCAAUAUUCCCCACUGCUGCCUCCCGUAGGAGUCUGGGCCGUGUCUCAGUCCCAGUGUGGCUGAUCAUCCUCUCAGACCAGCUACGGAUCGUCGCCUUGGUGAGCCGUUACCUCACCAACCAGCUAAUCCGACAUAGGCUCAUCCGAUAGCGCGAGGCCCGAAGGUCCCCCGCUUUCCCCCGUAGGGCGUAUGCGGUAUUAGCCUGGGUUUCCCCAGGUUAUCCCCCACUACCGGGCAGAUUCCUAUGCAUUACUCACCCGUCCGCCGCUCGCCACCAGGGAGCAAGCUCCCCGUGCUGCCGCUCGACUUGCAUGUGUAGCUCGCCGCCACGCGUCAUCUGAACAAGAUACAACUUACUGA
rnacentral:rRNA from 1 species